UCAAUAGUCGAGAAAUCGUUGUCGUUACCAAUUUUUAAGGAUCCGUAGCCAAAUGGCAAAAAACGGACCCCUUAUGGAUCCGUCAUGUCUGUAUGUCUGUCCGUCCGUAUGUCACAGACACUUUUUUCCGAAACUCCAAGAACUAUACUGUUGAAACUUGAUGCAUUUCGUACAAUAAAUCAAACAAAAGUGAAAAAAAGAACACAGUAAAAUAUCAAAUACCAGCCGCAUCUUCUUUUGGAGACAACAAAGAGUCGGCGACUUUGUCCAAUGCCGUUUCCAAGUCGGCUUGCAUCAGCAAAACAGGCCACGUCUCACCACAUGACAGCUGCGACGAUCGCCGUCAACAGCACGUUACUGGCGAUGCAGGCGCCAUCAAGGCUACGGUAACAUUUCCAUUGGACCGGCCGGUCUAUAGGUACGAGUAUCGUGAAGAACUUUUGGCAUACAAUAAAAAUAAAAAUGAAUCUAUAAGACUUACAUCUGUUUCACCAAAAGAA